GACGAACGCUGGCGGCGUGCUUAACACAUGCAAGUCGAACGCAGUGGCGAACGGGUGAGUAACGCGUAUUCAACCUGCCCUUCAGAGGGGAACAACAGUUGGAAACGACUACUAAUACCGCAUAUUGACGAAGGGGCUUGCGUCUGAUUAGUUAGUUGGAUGGGUAACGGCCCACCAAGGCGAUGAUCAGUAACCGGACUGAGAGGAUGGACGGCCACAUUGGGACUGAGACACGGCCCAGACUCCUACGGGAGGCAGCAGUGGGGAAUCUUCCGCAAUGGACGAAAGUCUGAAGGAGCAACGCCGCGUUAGUGAUGACGGCCUUCGGGUUGUAAAGCUCUGUUAAUCGGGACGCGGUACCGGAAUAGAAAGCCACGGCUAACUACGUGCCAGCAGCCGCGGUAAUAC
rnacentral:rRNA from 1 species